CCUACGGGAGGCCGCAGUGAGGAAUAUUGGUCAAUGGACGCAAGUCUGAACCAGCCAUGCCGCGUGCAGGAAGACGGCUCUAUGAGUUGUAAACUGCUUUUGUACGAGGGUAAACGCAGAUACGCGUAUCUGUCUGAAAGUAUCGUACGAAUAAGCAUCGGCUAACUCCGUGCCAGCAGCCGCGGUAAUACGGAGGAUUCAAGCGUUAUCCGGAUUUAUUGGGUUUAAAGGGUGAGUAGGCGGUCGGAUAAGUUAGAGGUGAAAUCCCGAGGCUCAACUUCGGAAUUGCCGCUGAUACUGUUCGGCUAGAGAGUAGUGGCGGUAGGCGGAAUGUAUGGUGUAGCGGUGAAAUGCUUAGAGAUCAUACAGAACACCGAUUGCGAAGGCAGCGUACCAAGCUACUUCUGACGCUGAUGCUCGAAAGCGCGGGUAUCGAACAGGAUUAGAUACCCCAGUAGUC
rnacentral:rRNA from 1 species